rnacentral:rRNA from 1 species
CCGGCACGGGUGAGUAACACGUAUCCAACCUGCCGUCUACUCUCGGACAGCCUUCUGAAAGGAAGAUUAAUACAAGAUGGCAUCAUGAGUCCACAUGUUCACAUGAUUAAAGGUAUUCCGGUAGACGAUGGGGAUGCGUUCCAUUAGAUAGUAGGCGGGGUAACGGCCCACCUAGUCUUCGAUGGAUAGGGGUUCUGAGAGGAAGGUCCCCCACAUUGGAACUGAGACACGGUCCAA